UUUUCCAUGCAUAUCCUCUCUCUCCGGGCAUCCCUGGUCUGCUUCCUCCAUUGUCUGAAAGACCGCAGCAGCCGCACUAAACAGGAAACAUCAAGCUAAAAAGUGUGAACAAUUCAGCCCAUCUCAUGCAGCGCAGGUCACCCUGAUGACAAGCCUGCAGCUCUCGAUUUCUCCUGACAAUGCAAACAGAUGCGUUCAAAGGUAAGUGUUAGCCAACAGACGAGCAAGUUUCACCAUUCUACUCAAACACUUCUGCAGCACUUAGUUUGCUUCACUUGUCUCGUAUCUCUGUGCUGUUGUCCUUCCACUGUGUCAUCGUCUUGUGAAGCAUUCUGUGCAGGUACAGACGGUCUGAAGCCUUGUGUUUUUCCUCUUCUUCGAUCUGCUGCUCUGUCCGUUGUCUCCAACGAGUCCAGGCUCUCUGCAAGUGGCAGCGCUCCUCGUGUAGAAUUGCCUGACAACAGUGUAAAACACCAAAGUGUACUGACGCUGCCUGAUAACACAGUGAUCAAACAAAUCAUGUGGAGGCAACAGACAGGUCAACUCUGCUUGGUCUGGAAAUUAAUCACAACACAAGUACAAAUCGGGGGGGGGGGUUGGUAACUAACUGGUUAUAGACUUCUGCCUUGUGUCUUCUCUGUUUGUGGAGUCUUCUCUUCAGAGUGAACUCAACCCACAAGUCGAAACAACGAGGCAACAUGCGUUCAGCAAACCAAAUUUCUGCACGAUGCUCCAAUUUCUGCAGAAAAACAUGUUUUUGAGUUUGCAAUUAAACUAUACUACACACUAUGUUUACCUACAUUUUGAAUACAUUUAUAACUUUAAUAUAAUGUGUCCUUAUCUCUGCUCUUUAAGUACUGUUCUUGUAUUGGAUCUUAAGAAUACCUGCAUGCGUCUCUGUUCAGCAAGUUUCUCUCUCCAGUGGUGUAAACAGCUGCUCAACAGGAAUGAUCUAGAACAAGUCCACAUUUAUAUCCAAAUCAUGCAAACAGGAACAACUUUAUAUGAAAUAUGCAACAUGUUUGUAGCUUUGAUGCUAAAAACUAAAGCAAUCAAUAUAUGUUUCUCUCUAGGGCAAACAUGUAAAUAAAAGCACCUGUGGUUAGUCAGUGCCAUUUCUGUUAGGGGUUGAAAGCUCUUGUCUUCAGCCUCCUCCAGACGGUCCUGCCACAGCUUCCAAUACUUACAUGCCAUCUAAGAAAAACACAAGCAUUGAAUGUAUAGAACGUUACUUAACAUAUGUAAUUGACUGUGUAAUUUCAGGAUGAUAGAGCGUUCAUCAAUUACAGUUUGAUGAUAAUGUUGGACAGCCAUGUUGUUGUUCAGUCGGUGCGUUUUGUUCCCGAUGACGUUAAGAGAAAGUCCCAUCAGUCCAGCACGCUGCAACAAGAACACACAGUGAUCAAUACAUUAAAUGGCUGCACUCUCUACUUACAUGCAGUCGCUUAAUUUACUCUUUAUCUUACCAGUAAAUGAUGAUGAUGAUGUUGAC